rnacentral:tRNA from 1 species
GAGGUGUUAGUAAACCAAUUACAUGGCCUUGUCAAGACCAAAUCACAGGUGAAAAUCCUGUACACCUCA